GUCAGUUUGGCCGAGCGGUCUAAGGCGCCAGACUCAAGUUCUGGUGGAGAAAUCCGCGUGGGUUCGAACCCCACAGCUGACA
rnacentral:tRNA from 1 species